rnacentral:lncRNA from 1 species
AGUUUGCUAACAGCAUCUGAAAUGCGCCGCACAGCGGGGGCAUCAUCAGCAGCAAACAUGCUCUCGUACCGACCUUUGUGUUGGACCUCAAAACGUGUCGUAGAUUUGUCCCUUCUAGUUGGGUUGACGCCCUCGCACAGCACCCCCAGCUCGAGCGACACUGGGCAGUGGUCACUCAUGAGGCUACCAACUCUCUCGCCGGUUAGUGCGACAGGAAUGUCUAGCACGCGCAAUUGGUUCGACUUGAAGAAAAGGGCGGGUGAUGCUACGAAGAGAUCAAUCAUGCUGCUGCCGUUCCC